CGGCAAAAAUAAUAGAAGCAAGCUACCCUACAAUCACACAAGUGGGUCGUGAUCUUUUCCAGCAGCGAUGAGUAUUGCGGUGAAGGAAAAUGGUGGAUUGUUGCCAGAUCUCUGUAAUUUCUACAAGGACACUCAUCAAAACAAGAAGACAAAAUAGUGGAUUGAUCCUAUAUGCGGAGCAAAUGACAAGGGUGUGGGAUGAGUCUAUCGAGGCUGGAACACCGAUG